rnacentral:misc_RNA from 1 species
GUAGGUGAACCUGCGGAAGGAUCACUAAAGAGAACCGGCCCUCCGGGGUAGAUCCCCCACCCUUUGUUUAUCACACUUUGUUGCUUUGGCGGGCCUGCCUCACGGCUGCCGGCGUAAGCUGGCUCGCGCCCGCCAGAGACCCCUAAACUCUGAAUAUUGUCGUCUGAGUAAUAUAUAAUAAGUUAAAACUUUCAACAACGGAUCUCUUGGUUCUG